GUGGGGAAUAUUGGACAAUGGGCGAAAGCCUGAUCCAGCGACGCCGCGUGGGUGAAGAAGGCCUGCGGGUUGUAAAGCCCUUUCGGUAGGGACGAAAGCUCUUGCCCCAAUACGGCAGGAGGUUGACUUAACCUACAUAAGAAGCACCGGCUAACUCUGUGCCAGCAGCCGCGGUAAUACAGAGGGUGCGAGCGUUAAUCGGAAUUACUGGGCGUAAAGCGCACGUAGUCGGCUUUGCAAGUCGGGUGUGAAAUCCCCGGGCUCAACCUGGGAACUGCAUCCGAGACUGCAUUGCUAGAGUAUGGGAGAGGGAAGCGGAAUUUCUGGUGUAGCAGUGAAAUGCGUAGAUAUCAGAAGGAACAUCAGUGGCGAAGGCGGCUUCCUGGACCAAUACUGACGAUCAGGUGCGAAAGCGUGGGGAGCAAACAGGAUUAGAUACCCUUGUAGUCC
rnacentral:rRNA from 1 species